UUCUAUGUGCUUUAAAAAUCAAGUUAAAUAUUAUGAUGAUUCCUGAUAAUCUAAUUACUCAUUGUUUUCUUUGGAAAACAAAAGUAAGGAUUUAGCACGAGGAUUGCUUGGAGGUUUGGGCGAGGGAUUAGUUAGGCAGGUAAUCGACUAUAUAGGUUUAAUUUUCUUUUUUUAAGCUUCACUUUAUGAAUAUUGAAAUUGAUUUGUGAUUUUAUUGGUUAUUUGUUGGGAUUUGUCUGUGGAUGCUAGAUGUUUUAUUUACUCAUGAGUGGAUGGUUAAAUAUGAAAUAUUUCCGAAAAUUAUUGCAGAUUGAUUGAGUA